AUCUAUGCAUCUCAAAUUUGCCUGAUCUUAUUUUCUGAAGAGCAUUCCAUUGUUCGUCAUCAUCGAGAAGUUGGCCUUCCCUUUCGUCAGAGGAAGACUCACUCCCAUCAUAAGCAGAAGAAGUCUUGUUUGCAGGAUAAUCAAGUUGGCUUUGCUUCUCUUCAACAGGGGAAGCAUCAGGUGAGAUCUCAGCAUUGCCAGAUGAAUUACUCGCUCUUGCAGCCACCACAUGAUCAACGCUCAAGCU